rnacentral:rRNA from 1 species
GGGGGGGGGCCGUAGGUGACCUGCGGAGGGAUCAUUACACAAAUAUGAAGGCGGGCUGGAACCUCUCGGGGUUACAGCCUUGCUGAAUUAUUCACCCUUGUCUUUUGCGUACUUCUUGUUUCCUUGGUGGGUUCGCCCACCACUAGGACAAACAUAAACCUUUUGUAAUUGCAAUCAGCGUCAGUAACAAAUUAAUAAUUACAACUUUCAACAACGGAUCUCUUGGUUCUGGCAUCGAUGAAGAACGCAGCGAAAUGCGAUAAGUAGUGUGAAUUGCAGAAUUCAGUGAAUCAUCGAAUCUUUGAACGCACAUUGCGCCCUUUGGUAUUCCAAAGGGCAUGCCUGUUCGAGCGUCAUUUGUACCCUCAAGCUUUGCUUGGUGUUGGGCGUCUUGUCUCUAGCUUUGCUGGAGACUCGCCUUAAAGUAAUUGGCAGCCGGCCUACUGGUUUCGGAGCGCAGCACAAGUCGCACUCUCUAUCAGCAAAGGUCUAGCAUCCAUUAAGCCUUUUUUUCAACUUUUGACCUCGGAUCAGGUAGGGAUACCCGCUGAACUUA